AGUGAACGCUGGCGGUAGGCCUAACACAUGCAAGUCGAACGGCAGCACAGUAAGAGCUUGCUCUUACGGGUGGCGAGUGGCGGACGGGUGAGGAAUACAUCGGAAUCUACUUUUUCGUGGGGGAUAACGUAGGGAAACUUACGCUAAUACCGCAUACGACCUACGGGUGAAAGCAGGGGAUCUUCGGACCUUGCGCGAUUGAAUGAGCCGAUGUCGGAUUAGCUAGUUGGCGGGGUAAAGGCCCACCAAGGCGACGAUCCGUAGCUGGUCUGAGAGGAUGAUCAGCCACACUGGAACUGAGACACGGUCCAGACUCCGGCGGGAGGCAGCAGUGGGGAAUAUUGGACAAUGGGCGCAAGCCUGAUCCAGCCAUACCGCGUGGGUGAAGAAGGCCUUCGGGUUGUAGAGCCCUUUUGUUGGGAGAGAAAAGCAGCAGGUUAAUACCCCGCUGUUCUGACGGUACCCAAAGAAUAAGCACCGGCUAACUUCGUG
rnacentral:rRNA from 1 species